rnacentral:rRNA from 2 species
GUCGAGCGGACAGAUGGGAGCUUGCUCCCUGAUGUUAGCGGCGGACGGGUGAGUAACACGUGGGUAACCUGCCUGUAAGACUGGGAUAACUCCGGGAAACCGGGGCUAAUACCGGAUGCUUGUUUGAACCGCAUGGUUCAAACAUAAAAGGUGGCUUCGGCUACCACUUACAGAUGGACCCGCGGCGCAUUAGCUAGUUGGUGAGGUAACGGCUCACCAAGGCAACGAUGCGUAGCCGACCUGAGAGGGUGAUCGGCCACACUGGGACUGAGACACGGCCCAGACUCCUACGGGAGGCAGCAGUAGGGAAUCUUCCGCAAUGGACGAAAGUCUGACGGAGCAACGCCGCGUGAGUGAUGAAGGUUUUCGGAUCGUAAAGCUCUGUUGUUAGGGAAGAACAAGUACCGUUCGAAUAGGGCGGUACCUUGACGGUACCUAACCAGAAAGCCACGGCUAACUACGUGCCAGCAGCCGCGGUAAUACGUAGGUGGCAAGCGUUGUCCGGAAUUAUUGGGCGUAAAGGGCUCGCAGGCGGUUCCUUAAGUCUGAUGUGAAAGCCCCCGGCUCAACCGGGGAGGGUCAUUGGAAACUGGGGGAACUGAGUGCAGAAGAGGAGAGUGGAAUUCCACGUGUAGCGGUGAAAUGCGUAGAGAUGUGGAGGAACACCAGUGGCGAAGGCGACUCUCUGGUCUGUAACUGACGCUGAGGAGCGAAAGCGUGGGGAGCGAACAGGAUUAGAUACCCUGGUAGUCCACGCCGUAAACGAUGAGUGCUAAGUGUUAGGGGGGUUUCCGCCCCCUUAGUGCUGCAGCUAACGCAUUAAGCACUCCGCCUGGGGGAGUACGGUCGCAAGACUGAAACUCAAAGGAAAUU